CCCAUCCAGCCGGGUUCCCCUCACGGUUCCCGGCGCUGUGCCCGACCUGGUCACACUGCCAAGGAUUAGGUGUAUUUUCCUGUCCUUGCGCUCUGUGGGAAAGCCUCAUCUGUCCCUGUGGGUGGGUGCUGCUCACUGAAACAGUGAAGCCUCUGUGCUGGCAGUCCUUUCUCCUUCCCCUUCUGAAAGUGCAUCUUCUUUGCAGAUUCCAUAUUUCCUACCAAUGCAUUUGCCAUACUGGAGACCGAGCCUCAGAGAGAAGCAAGAAGCUGCUGAGAGAGGCAGAGUGGUUUUCUCCAUCUUUGGAUGAGGUUCCCACCCCAGACACUUCAGCUCCAACGAGUUUUCCAGUGCCAUGGAGAUCGAGGUGCCUGAAGGAGACAGACACUGGUGCAGGACCUGAUGUGUGAUUUGUCAAUCAGCUUUGGCAGCUGCCAGCAGGCUUGCAGAGGGAGAGAUGCUGUGGUGCUUGGCUGCAGUGGGGAUGUUCCUCCAAGGUCAGAAAAUUCCAAGCUGCAGUCCUCUUCCUCAGCCCUCUCUCAUGGGAUGGGAUGUAUGAUCCUGUCCUCUGAGCUCUCACUUGGUGGACCAGAACAAAUUGAGAGAAUUUAGUGUGCUUUCUCUACAAAUGCCUUCAAAUGUUUACUUUUUCUCACAGUUAUACAGUAAGUUUUGAGUUAUGCUGGAUUGUGCUUACACUGUUGGCUAUCUAAGCUCUGGGAUGUAGAGCUGCAUUUGGAUUGUUCCUUUUAGGGAGACUAUGCACAGGAAGAACAGAACAGAUAUAGAAUGACCAUAGAUUUACCCUGUCAAGACCCAAUAUGAAGCAGCUGACUUGACAAGUGCUGGUAAAUUGCUUCCUCUUAUGUGGCACAAAACAGGUGGAGAAAUCUUGUUAUUUGAAUAGAAAAUUCCAUGAUGCUCAUAAAGGGGAGGUUGCUGGUUUGUUUUAUGAGAAUAGAGUGCCACAGUAGCAGAAAAGGGCCCUGUGAAAUUUCCUUAUGUGAUUUGAAUUUUUUUAUUCCAUUUCCCUCUGAGAUAACUUAAUUUUAUAAUUGCUGUCUGUUGAAGAAGAAGGGAGGAGGUGAAUAAAUGACACCAACUUAGACUGUAAAAUAAAGGGAGAUCUUUACCCAGUGCUUCUCUGAGCCCUUUGUGAAAACAGGUUCCCUUUCUGCUAGACAGCCACAAAU